UGGAAGUAAAAAAUCGUAACAAGGUCUCCGUUGGUGAACCAGCGGAGGGAUCAUUACUGAGUUUACGCUCUACAACCCUUUGUGAACAUACCUAUAACUGUUGCUUCGGCGGGUAGGGUCUCCGUGACCCUCCCGGCCUCCCGCCCCCGGGCGGGUCGGCGCCCGCCGGAGGAUAACCAAACUCUGAUUUAACGACGUUUCUUCUGAGUGGUACAAGCAAAUAAUCAAAACUUUUAACAACGGAUCUCUUGGUUCUGGCAUCGAUGAAGAACGCAGCGAAAUGCGAUAAGUAAUGUGAAUUGCAGAAUUCAGUGAAUCAUCGAAUCUUUGAACGCACAUUGCGCCCGCCAGCAUUCUGGCGGGCAUGCCUGUUCGAGCGUCAUUUCAACCCUCAAGCUCUGCUUGGUGUUGGGGCCCUACAGCUGAUGUAGGCCCUCAAAGGUAGUGGCGGACCCUCCCGGAGCCUCCUUUGCGUAGUAACUUUACGUCUCGCACUGGGAUCCGGAGGGACUCUUGCCGUAAAACCCCCAAUUUCCAAAGGUGACCUCGGAUCAGGUAG
rnacentral:rRNA from 1 species